rnacentral:rRNA from 1 species
UUUGUUUGGUGGCGAUAGCGAAGAGGUCACACCCGUUCCCAUACCGAACACGGAAGUUAAGCUCUUCAGCGCCGAUGGUAGUCGGGGGUUUCCCCCUGUGAGAGUAGGACGCCGCCAAGCAGA